rnacentral:rRNA from 1 species
CGGACGGGUGAGUAAUGUCUGGGAAACUGCCCGAUGGAGGGGGAUAACUACUGGAAACGGUAGCUAAUACCGCAUGAUGUCUGCGGACCAAAGCGGGGGACCUCCGGGCCUCGCGCCAUCAGAUGAACCCAUAUGGGAUUAGCUUGUAGGUAAGGUAACGGCUUACCUAGGCGACGAUCCCUAGCUGGUCUGAGAGGAUGAUCAGCCACACUGGGACUGAGACACGGCCCAG